AUUGAACGCUGGCGGCAUGCCUUACACAUGCAAGUCGAACGGUAACAGGUCUUCGGAUGCUGACGAGUGGCGAACGGGUGAGUAAUACAUCGGAACGUGCCUAGUAGGGGGGGAUAACUACUCGAAAGAGUGGCUAAUACCGCAUGAGAUCUACGGAUGAAAGCAGGGGAUCGCAAGACCUUGUGCUACUAGCGCGGCCGAUGGAAGAUUAGGUAGUUGGUGGGAUAAAAGCUUACCAAGCCGACGAUCUGUAGCUGGUCUGAGAGGACGAUCAGCCACACUGGGACUGAGACACGGCCCAGACUCCUACGGGAGGCAGCAGUGGGGAAUUUUGGACAAUGGGCGAAAGCCUGAUCCAGCAAUGCCGCGUGCAGGAUGAAGGCCUUCGGGUUGUAAACUGCUUUUGUACGGAACGAAAAGCCCCGGGUUAAUACCCUGGGGUCAUGACGGUACCGUAAGAAUAAGCACCGGCUAACUACGUGCCAGCCGCCGCCGUAA
rnacentral:rRNA from 1 species